GACAGGGGAGUAACUUGCUACUGGACCUAGCGGCGGACGGGUGAGUAAUGCUUAGGAAUCUGCCUAUUAGUGGGGGACAACAUCUCGAAAGGGAUGCUAAUACCGCAUACGUCCUACGGGAGAAAGCAGGGGAUCUUCGGACCUUGCGCUAAUAGAUGAGCCUAAGUCGGAUUAGCUAGUUGGUGGGGUAAAGGCCUACCAAGGCGACGAUCUGUAGCGGGUCUGAGAGGAUGAUCCGCCACACUGGGACUGAGACACGGCCCAGACUCCUACGGGAGGCAGCAGUGGGGAAUAUUGGACAAUGGGGGGAACCCUGAUCCAGCCAUGCCGCGUGUGUGAAGAAGGCCUUAUGGUUGUAAAGCACUUUAAGCGAGGAGGAGGCUACUUUAGUUAAUACCUAGAGAUAGUGGACGUUACUCGCACAAUAAGCACCGGCUAACUCUGUGCCAGCAGCCGCGGUAAUACAGAGGGUGCUAGCGUUAAUCGGAUUUACUGGGCGUAAAGCAUGUUG
rnacentral:rRNA from 1 species